rnacentral:lncRNA from 1 species
GACUGGUUCCGGAGCUUUAGGUGGUGGUGCCGGGUUUGGAGCUGGGAUUAGGAAGGGUGCUGGCCUCCUAUGGUCAUGAUAACAUGGGCCUCCACUAAUCCCAUGGUAGCAUUCAGCACAACAUGUCCUUCGGUGGACUGGUGCCGGUUUCUCUGGUUCUUUGGGUUUCUCUGGUUCUUUGGGUUUCUCCGGUUCUUUGGGUUUCUCUGGUUCUUUGGGCUUCUCCGGUUCUUUGGGAUUCUCCGGUUGCUUAGGCUUUUCAGGUUCUUUCGGCUUCUCCGGUUCUUUAGGUUUAGAUGGUGGUGCUUUGGGUUUCUCUGGAACCUUGAUCUCAAUGCUCUGGACAGCUUCACCUCCUUUACAGAUUAUCUUUUCCUUGAUCUUUUCAGGACUGCAACAUACCACAGUGAUGGUCACUGUGCCUGCCUUCUUGUCAUAUAUCUGGUUCUGAAUUUCUCUUGUUCACAAUCCACAAAAACAACUUAGCCACUUUCCUUUCAUCUUAAAACUGCUCAAACUAAGUUAUUAUACAUGGAGAAGGAGGCACUCACGAGGGAUUCUACACAGUACUUUCUUGAUUUUCUUGUGGCAUUUCUUACAUUCAAGGUCAACCUUGAUCACCAUUAUUGUGACUUUCUGCAAUACGAGCACAUAAAAACAAGGACAUUCUAAGCCAAGAAGAAUAUUGAAAGGACUGGAACACUUUCUGACAUGGAAGGAUAUUGAUCAGUAAAGAUAAUGAACAAGAAGAUGAGGUCCAUAGGGCCAAAAACAAGGACCACAACACAUAAAAAGAAGAAAAACCCAGAUGAAUGGACUAAAUAAAAGAUAAAUCUAAACCAAUAAAAGAAGAAGAAGGAAAAUGUAUCAAAAUCUCCACAUCCAUCCAUGCACAUACCUUUUCAGCCAUGGUUUUGUCGAAGCUUUGAUCUGGACCUGAUGAGAUGAUAGAAUUGAGAGCAGAGUGAAGGAACAGACCAGAGGGUGAGAGGGAGAUAUAGAGGCUUCUAAAAUUAAGAUUGAUCACAACUUAAGUAGUAGAAGUGUGAGACCAAAGUUUAAAUACCGUGCAUCUAGAGGCCAAUAAGAAGAGAACACAUGGGAUUGGGUGUUGAGCUUGACGUCAUAUUGUCGUUUUCUUUUUUAUUGCUGACCCUCCAAACCUGCGUAUGCAAGCGCUGGCUUUGAUGGACACAUCUCACCUUCAAUUUUGUUAAUCAUUUCGAAGGCUGUUGUGCAUCCUACGGUGCAUUAGUUCAGUCAUGUCAAUAAAUGAGCCAUGCAAACCCCAUGACAACCGUACACGUGUCCCAAAAAAAUUCACCAUAAAAAAUUAAAAAUCUUCAAUUAAUAUUUCCAUAUCUCAUGUUAAAAGAAUUUAGCCGGUGUUUGAUUGUUGUUUCCUGAUAAAAACAUAGAAAACUUGAAUUAUAAAUUUAUUUUAAAAUUAUUACAAAAAACAAUUUUAUUUUAUAUUCUUAUUUUUAUCCUCCGUUCUACACUAACAACACAUAAUUUGAAGAGGUAUUAUAAUUCUAAUUAACGAGCUCCUCUGUUUCAAAAUUUGGAUUUAUAAAGUAACAUAAGAACACAUAUCUCUUUAACAACUUGUCCAAAUUGGAUUAAUUUUUUAUGAUACAUGUAAGGUAAUUAGUUGUAUUUUUUAAUAAAAAGAUAAUUAGAACAAAAAUAAUUAAUAAGUUGUGAUAUUUGUAUUACUCUCUCUUGUAUUUAUAUUUUUUCUAAAAGUACAUCUUAUAAAAUAAUUAAUAAAUUAUUACUAAUUCCCAUCAUCACCAUGGAAUACUUCAUAUAAUCUAAACGACAAAAAUCUGUAUAAUUAUAUAUAUAAUGAUAUGAAAACCAGAAAUUAGAAACCCAAGUCGUUAAGCAAGUAGCUCACCGUUUUAUCUCAUCACUUUAACCAUAAAGGUGCUAGGACAUAAAGAAGAAAGUUAACAAAUUGUGGGCCCAGAAGUUGCGUCCAUGAGUGCCGACUUUGAAAGCUGAGGCAGGUUUAACUAAUCGUUUGAAAUUACGGUCAACUGUAUUUUUUAAAAUUUUAAUUUUUUAAUAUAUAUAUAUAUAUUUGAUUGUUUUGAUAUACUGGUACAAGAAUAAAUCUUGAAAAAUAAAAAUUAUAUGUUUUAUUUUAAUAUAUUUUCAAUAAUGUUAGUGUUUAGAGAGCAACUAAUAUAAAUUUCGUAGUCGGCAACUUUACAUAAUCUCAUAUCAACAAAUCAGGAGAAGGAAGGGAACUGCUCAUUCAUGGUAGAAUUCUUAUCGCCAAGUACGAUGAUGGGAUCAUGACAGUCCACAUUCCAUUAUCUAGAUGGAUCAUGCAUGACCUAAAUUUCUGACAGCGAAGCUUGAUAACGUUUACAAAACAAAAACCAUCGAUCAGUUACUGUCAGAAAUUAAAGAAAGCAAAUGGAAAGUGAAUGGAAGGGAGAUGCUGAGAUGCACCAUCACUGUAUAUACAAAUAGCAAUGAUUAUGGAAGCUUUAAAAUCUCCCUUAUAUUAAUUUAUUAAAAAUCUUAACAUCUCUUGUAAUAAAAUAUUGUGCCCACAUCACCAACCUUAUUGUAUCACAUAAAAUCUCUAAAACGAAGGAAGAAGACCCAAUAUGCAGCCAAAACUGACUAGCUAGACAAGGUUAUGACAUGAGCAUGAGCAAUGCUAUUGUUUAAUUUGAUCAUAUCGACACGAUACUACUGUCCAAAUCCAGUGAUUUUUGGUGGAAAUCGGCUUAAGGCAAUAUCGACAUUCUAGAUGCUUUCACAUGAUUGUGCAUGACGAGGGAUUAUCUUCACAGACAUAUUCACAUCUGCACACAUAGUAACCGCUUCUUUGGCAACCACAGCCGCCGCCGCCGCCGCCACCCCAAUUAUCAUACACUGGCCUUCCAUAAGCUUCAUAACUCGGGGGUGCUGGCCUACCAUAGUCAUGAUAACAUGGGCCUCCACUAAUCCCAUGGUAGCAUUCAGCACAACAUGUCCUUGGGGGGACUGGUUCCGGAGCUUUAGGUGGUGGUGGUGCCGGGUUUGGAGCUGGGUUUGGGGCCGGUUCUUUGGGUUUUGGUGUUUCAACAAUAAGCGCUUUAGGCUUCUCCGGUUCUUUGGGUUUCUCCGGUUCUUUGGGCUUCUCCGGUUCUUUGGGUUUCUCCGGUUCUUUGGGCUUCUCCGGUUCUUUGGGUUUCUCCGGUUCUUUGGGCUUCUCUGGUUCUUUGGGUUUCUCCGGUUCUUUGGGCUUCUCUGGUUGCUUAGGCUUCUCAGGUUCUUUCGGCUUCUCCGGUUCUUUGGGUUUCUCUGGUGCUGCUUUGGGAUUCUCUGGUGCUUUGGGUUUCUCUGGAACCUUGAUCUCAAUGCUCUUGACAGCUUCACCUCCUUUACAGACUAUCUUUUCCUUGAUCUUUUCAGGACUGCAACAUACCACAGUGAUGGUCACUGUGCCUGCCUUCUUGUCAUAUAUCUGGUUCUGAAUUUCUCUUGUUCACAAUCCACAAAAAUUAACCACUUAGCCACUUUCAUUUCAUCUUGAAACAGCUCAAACUAAGUUAUAAUAC